GCCUGGCUGGCUCAGUUGGUGGAGCGUAUGACUCUUGAUCUUGAGGUUGUAAGUUCAAGCCCUACAUUAGGUG
rnacentral:tRNA from 1 species